UACAGAGGGUGCGAGCGUUAAUCGGAAUUACUGGGCGUAAAGGGCGCGUAGGCGGUUUAUCAAGUGAGAUGUGAAAUCCCCGGGCUUAACCUGGGAACUGCAUCUUAAACUGGUAAGCUGGAGUACUGUAGAGGACAGUGGAAUUUCCGGUGUAGCGGUGAAAUGCGUAGAGAUCGGAAGGAACAUCAGUGGCGAAGGCGACUGUCUGGACAGAUACUGACGCUGAGGCGCGAAAGCUAGGGGAGCAAACGGG
rnacentral:rRNA from 1 species